CAGGUUCCUCUCAUCCUCACAGAGAGAAGAUGGCAUUCAAGUCACUCGGUUUCAUUCUGAGUUUCAUUCCCUCCUCUCAACGAAGCAAUCCUCAGGAGGAGACACCUACAGACCACAGUAUCCAUUGUUAUUACCUGGAGCUGGUGCAUAGGGCCUGCUUCCUGACUGCUUCAACUGGUUAAGGAGAAUGAGACGACGUUCAUCCUCAUAUCAUGCCCAACUGAGAGUCACUGCUACAAUAAAGUCUGCAGCACUACAGGUUAGAAGUAAAAG